CGCCACAAACACUGCAGAGAGGUCCAGUUUAGUGACUCCAGUUAGCAGAAUGCAAUCGAAGACGUUUGAGCUUUGAGUUUUGACCUAAGUGGACCUUAGCAGACUCGCAAACCUGGAAAGUAGAAUUAAGCCUCAAUUUCAGCACUUGGUUCCAGCUCGUUCCACAUCGUCCAGUCGCCAGUUAUGGGUCUCUCCUGUCUUGGCACAAGCGGUGUAUCCAGCUGGAGCGGGCAGCUGUUUCCACCAAGACCCCACACUACCUUCCCACUGCCAAACAGCAGAUGGAUACGGCUUGCGGCUAGCUGCCACGCGUCACAUAAUGCAGCAGAAUUUGGCUCUGAAAAUGGAAAAUAAACUUUUGUACUGGAAGAAUCCGGAGACGAGCAUGUGAGGACUGCACUGAUGGCAGCACCCCUAAUCAUUAAAGUAUAAAGGUGCAGACGACAUAAGGUGCAGACGACAGGGAGGAUUGAAAUCACGUUCACCUUUAAACUGCUCAUAUAUCUCUUUAGAAUAAUGUUGUUUUUUUUCUUAUUUUCACCGUUUUUUGCACUACCCUUAAACCAAUACAUAAUUCUGGAUAUGGAACAUGUAAUCAUAAAUAGAUAAAUAAAUAAUAUGACAGCCUGUUUG